AGGACGAACGCUGGCGGCGUGCUUAACACAUGCAAGUCGAGCGGAAAGGCCCUUUCGGGGGUACUCGAGCGGCGAACGGGUGAGUAACACGUGAGUAACCUGCCCUUGGCUUUGGGAUAACCCUCGGAAACGGGGGCUAAUACCGAAUAUUCACUGCUCCUCGCAUGGGGGGUGGUGGAAAGAUUUUUUGGCUGGGGAUGGGCUCGCGGCCUAUCAGCUUGUUGGUGGGGUAAUGGCCCACCAAGGCGACGACGGGUAGCCGGCCUGAGAGGGCGACCGGCCACACUGGGACUGAGACACGGCCCAGACUCCUACGGGAGGCAGCAGUGGGGAAUAUUGCGCAAUGGGCGAAAGCCUGACGCAGCGACGCCGCGUGGGGGAUGAAGGCCUUCGGGUUGUAAACCCCUUUCAGCAGGGACGAAGCGAAGUGACGGUACCUGCAGAAGAAGCGCCGGCUAACUACGCGCCAGCAGCCGC
rnacentral:rRNA from 1 species